rnacentral:lncRNA from 1 species
UAAAAUAGUGCAGUCCAAUUAAAUGGAGAAGCUGCACAGCCCAAUGAAUAAAUUAAAGGCCCAAAGCAUUAAAUAAAAACAUUGGCCCAACUGAAAUAUAAACAAAACUCGGCCCAAGAAAUAAAAUAAAACAAAAUCGGCCCAAGUCAAGCCCUAGCCCAACUGACUCGGCCCACCAUUCAAAGCUCAACCCUAGCCCAACACCCUUUUCUCCCCCUUCCUCAUCAAUCACGCCUCACACACUUCAGUCAUUCAUCUCUUUCAAU